ACCGUUUCGGAUUUUGCAAAGUUCCGAUACACUUUCUAAUCCAGUAAAUAUUGAUAUUAUGAUUCUAAUACCUACAACUAAAUAUGAAUCACCAUAACAUGAAUUAACACUUUACCUGGACAUCGUGAUUCACAUUGUGAGUCAUUUUUCAAUUUCUUCGAAAUCUUGAAUUCUUCGAUCUUCGAUGAUACGCACCGAUUCUUCAAGACUCCGACUCACUUCACGAAACUUACCAACACACAGGACUUAACACCCAUUUCUCCAAGCUUCUUCUUCUUCUUCUUCUUUUUCUCUUUUCUUUCUUCUUUCUAGAGAGAGAAUGAGAGAAAUGAUAGAGUGUGUGGGAGGGAGAGAAUGAGAGAAAA
rnacentral:lncRNA from 1 species